CGUGGCUCUUGCACCAAAGAGUUUCUGUUUAGAAUUUGUAGAAGACAUCCUGGACAUGUAUUGCUUGCCCUAAGAUAUGCCUCAUCAUCGGGGACAUCUCCAAGCCAGCAGUGGUAGCUAUAUCUGCUUACAGAUGUAAACUGCAAAGGAACUGUGGCUGCAUGAAUCAUAGAAGCCACAGCAUGAGAGGAAAUGAAGGCAUCCUCUCUAAUAGAACUUGAAUAAGAAACUGAAUAAAACUGGAAUGAGUGCUGGAAUGAAUGUCACAUUCUGCUUGGAAUCGGCGGAUGAUUACCUCCACUGAAAACCAAAAUCGUCUGGAGAUGUGAUUUUUCCAGAAAGGGUUUGCUGUAUUGACAAAAACAAAUCAACUGUUAUGUUUCAAAGGAAUUAUGCUGAGGAUUACUUUCUUUGAGGUUAUGCAAGCUACAGCUACAUAAAUCCAUGAAUAUUUACACAUCUGGAGUCAGCUAAUGGGCAACAAGUGUAUGCAGGUGGACUGUGAUACUUUACAGCUAUGUGCAAAUGUCUAGAGGUAUUCUUCGAUAUCCAGGGCAGUGCGACAUCUGAAAUUUAUCUCUGAAGAACGCACUGUGAACAAAGAACUCUGCAUCAAAAUCCUGCAUCGUUUGCAUGAGUCAUUCCGGAAGAAGAGACAAAAAAUUUGGGCUGAGCAGUCAUGGGUGUUAUUGCAUGACAAUGCUCCUGUUCAAUGAUCCCUACUCAUCAAUGUCUUUCUUGGGAAAACAACUGUUUUGCUUCAUCCUCCUUACUCACCUGAUCCCGCACCCUGCGAUUUCUUCCUAUUUCCUGAACUGGCAAAACGCCGAUUUCAAUCUUCAGGUGAAAUUAAAUGUGCAUUAAUGAAAGAAAGUGCAUUAAAUGUUAAUUCUAAUCUUUUUUGGGAUUUUGCUUUUGCUAUUGGAGUAGUGUUUGAAAUUGACUAUCACAGUAUCUGAUAUUAAACCUUGAUUUUUUCCAUCCUGUAGUGAUAUCCCCAGGAUUCUGUCAUGUACCAUAACUACGUCUAGAUCUGCCAGAAUCAGGAUAGUGUAUUUAAGCACUAUUUAACCAUCCACAUAGGCUUACUGCAGUAUAUAUCAAAAGAACUUGAUUGUCAUCUGAACAUAAGUUGUCUGGCUAGUUUGCACAUAAAAAAUUUCUGAAUUUUUCUAUUGUGUUGAAAGCUUAUAUUUGUGCUAUUUAAAAGGUAAUCUAGACAUCUGCAAUAUAAAAUAGGGAUUGCUGUUUCAAUACUCAGUUAAGAUGACAUCUGAGUUAACUUUUAAGAUCUUAUUUAUUCUAAUAUUACUCUAAUAUAACUGGAGGAAACCGUGUAGCUCAACUCUUGUCAAAAGAAUGUUAGUGUUAAGUCAGUGUAAAUUCUUCUCUCGAACAAAAAACUGUUCCAUCUUUUUUGCCUAGAUUUUAAGGCAUUAUCAGAAUAAAAAGGUAUGGGCUAAAAAAGGGUAUAUUAUUAGCUAUUUCUGCGAUUGCUAAUCGUGUACUCUAAAUCUUGCAAUUGUUCUUUAAUCACAGUAAUUUCUUCAUUCUUUUCAUAGCCCGUGGCUUUCUGUUGGCAGGUGUCAAUUUGGGUAGAUAACCUUUGUUUUUGUACUUAAAGAUCCUUUAUACUUAAUUUCUCUAUACCAGUGUCUUGAAGUAGCUUCAUAUAUAUUUAAAAAAAAAAAAAAAAAAAAAAAAAA
rnacentral:lncRNA from 1 species